rnacentral:lncRNA from 1 species
AAAUCUUUUAUCUUUUGUUGAAUAUGCAUGCAUCCCUUUUCUUUAGAGGGAACUCCAUUUCAUACCAUGUGCAUGUCAAGGCUAUUAUGAUGACUCCCUCCUAAAACUGUUGCACAAUGGUCAGUGCAGUAAUUUAAUAUCUGCUAUACUGACAACAGUAGGUGGAAGAACCUUAUUGAGGCAGAAACAAAAUUCUUAGUAACAUUUAUGAUACCAUAUUGAUCAUCAUGGUUAGAAAGUCAGUCUGUAGUUGUUACCAUUUCAUCAACUUCAUUGGUUUAGUAGUCCUUGCCCAAUUAUUUUGCCUCGUUAGACAUGAAAAAAUGAAGGGAGGCUAGAAGUUAAAACUUAAGUACUCUUCCUGUUUCUUUGUUGUUACUUGUGCUAUUAAGUUUUCUUCUCCUUGUGGCUCCAUUCUUUUUUCUUUUAUUGUUUCAGCUUAUAACUCUCUUUUCCCUGCCACUUUAGGGUUAUCUUACAGUCAUCUCAUUUAUUUUGUCAAGCGCUGGUGGUUGGUGCACCCAUUGUACAGUAGCAUUCUUACCUUUGCUUGCCUAGGGCAUCCAGUCUGCCUUUCACAUAGUAACAAUGGCACUUUUUACAACUUAUAAAUUUGUAGAGUAACCAAUCUCAGAUUGGCAGCUAGAGUCAAAAUGUUGCCAAAUAUUUAUUCCCUUUAUCUAAUAUUGCUUUAUUCAAUUGCUUGUCCUAUUUUUAUUAUCUUAGAGUUCUUUCCUCAAAAGAGCAAUCAGAACAUUUCCUCUUUCUUCAGAAUCCUUAAUCUCAACUGUCCAUACCUGCACUGUACAAUUUUCUUCCUGUGCUGUCUUAUAUUCAAGUAGAAUGUAUGCCAAGAGUCCCUUGCCUCUAUCAAUUUCUGCUAAAAUGUCCAAGUAGAUUUUUUCCUUCUACAAUUAAAUUAUUGUAUUUAUUAAUUUGAUAGAGUCCAAUAAAUUCUUUCAAUAGCUCUGGCUAUACUGUCAAUAAAAAAAAUGAAAGCAA